UCCUACGGGAGGCAGCAGUGGGGAAUUUUCCGCAUUGGGCGAAAGCCUGACGGAGCAACGCCGCGUGAGGGAUGAAGGCCUCUGGGCUGUAAACCUCCUUUCUCAAGGAAGAAGAUCUGACGGUACUUGAGGAAUAAGCCACGGCUAAUUCCGUGCCAGCAGCCGCGGUAAUACGGGAGUGGCAAGCGUUAUCCGGAAUUAUUGGGCGUAAAGCGUCCGUAGGCGGCUUUUCAAGUCUGCUGUUAAAAAGUGGAGCUUAACUCCAUCAAGGCAGUGGAAACUGAUUGGCUUGAGUGUGGUAGGGGCAGAGGGAAUUCCCGGUGUAGCGGUGAAAUGCGUAGAUAUCGGGAAGAACACCAGUGGCGAAGGCGCUCUGCUGGGCCAUAACUGACGCUCAUGGACGAAAGCCAGGGGAGCGAAAGGGAUUAGAUACCCCUGUAGUCCUGGCCGUAAACGAUGAACACUAGGUGUCGGGGGAAUCGACCCCCUCGGUGUCGUAGCCAACGCGUUAAGUGUUCCGCCUGGGGAGUACGCACGCAAGUGUGAAACUCAAAUGAAUUGACGG
rnacentral:rRNA from 1 species